rnacentral:rRNA from 1 species
UACGUAGGGGGCAAGCGUUGUCCGGAAUUAUUGGGCGUAAAGAGCGUGUAGGCGGCUUGGUAAGUCCGCUGUGAAAGUCCAGGGCUCAACCCUGGAAUGCCGGUGGAAACUGUCAAGCUUGAGUCCGGAAGAGGCGAGUGGAAUUCCUGGUGUAGCGGUGAAAUGCGCAGAUAUCAGGAGGAACACCAAUGGCGAAGGCAGCUCGCUGGGACGAUACUGACGCUGAGACGCGAAAGCGUGGGGAGCAAACAGG